UUUUCCUUGCAGUAUCGUCUAUCUGUGCAUCCAAGCACCCCAAGCUUUUCCUCGCGCGAUGGCAUCAGGCGCACGGAGGGAGCUCUUCUCCGUCGAUGUGGUGAACAACGACCGUGAUCUCCGUUCCACGGCGUCACCGGCUAGCAAGGCCGAGACAAGCAUCGUAAGGAUCCAGUUAGAAUGAUGACUGAUAUCCUGUUAGAGCAUCUUGGGCUUCACAAGGCCAUCUGAGACUCGGGCUCAAUGAGAACACGAUGAGGUACAUGGAGAACUCCAGAAACACUAUAGUGAAGGAUCUAAACUAUGACAGGCUGAGCAGAAUGCAGAAAGACUUUUGCUUAUCUGAGACUCGGGAUCGAUGAGGCAUUUGACAUGAUAAACAAGUGCCAAAGGUUACUUGUAUGAUCUGAGAUACAUGAGCUCCUUCUCAGAUCAGCUUCAUAAUGUGAUAGCACAUGGCUUUCCUCCUACCCGUGCCGUGGAUACAUUGACAAACAUGACCCUUAUGAAUAUUGAAGUGGUGGCACAUAACCUUAAGAGCAGAAGCAAUCAUCUGUAGAAGAGGCUGCAUGCCAUAAAAAGACAGUCUUUAGGCGCAACAGCAUGAGGUGUUUGCACCAAUUGAUUUCUUCACACCAACGCCAUGGCGUUGAUCAUCUAUGGACAUCACAGAACUCUGGCAAGUACGAGAUGAUAUAUGAUGCCACCAGCUCCUGUGAUGUACCGUGUAAACUACUGUGUGAUCUCCCUCUCCUUUUGUGAACACGUCCCCUUCGGCACGUCUAUUCAUACUUUUGCACUCAAUAUUUAUGUGUAUGAACAUUGCAUCCUUUAAUUUACCCUGUAUAUGAACAUUACAUCCUUCAAAUAUGUUGUACUAUA